GACGAACGCUGGCGGCGUGCCUAAUACAUGCAAGUAGAACGCAGUUGCGAACGCGUGUGUAACGCGUAGGUAACUUCCUCAUAGCGGGGGAUAACUAUUGGAAACGAUAGCUAAUACCGCAUACUGUGAGCUGGACCUGCGUUGUAUUAGCUAGUUGGUGAGGUAAAGGCUCACCACGGCGCCGAUCCAUCGCCGGCUUGAGAGGGUGAACCGGCACACUGGGACUGAGACACGGUCCAGACCCCUAAGGGAAGGAGGAAUAGGGAAGCUUCGGCAAUUGGCGGAAGGCUGACCGAGGAACGCCGCGGUAGUUAAGAAGGUUUUCGGAUCGUAAAGCUCUGUUGUUAGAGAAGCGGUAACUAAACAGAAAGGGACGGCUAACUACGUGCCAGCAGCCGCGGUAAUUC
rnacentral:rRNA from 1 species